AUGACAAACUUGGUCCCUUAGUGUUAAAUGUGGGUGACACACAGGCAGAAUCUGAUCUGGAACCACACUGAUCGGGCGUCUUCCCAUCCUUCCUCCAAUCAGCUCACCCUUCGGCUUCUCAAAGGCCCACGGAAUUUAUGGUGGUUCAUCGUUCUUUGCCUUAAGAUGCAGGUUCUAGAUUUGCUACUGGGACCCACGGUGACUUUGAUUUGUCUCUUGUGAACUCUCUAUGAUGCUGGCAAAAGAGAGGAAAUGGUCACGUAUUGGUCAGAUGAAUGUUGCAGGGAAGAAUAAUUGCAUUACAUGAAAUGCCUGCAGGAACCGUGGUGGGAAUGGAACCGUGGUGGGGCAGGAACCGUGGCGAGGCCGGAACCGUGGCGGGGCCGGAACCGUGGCGGGGCCGGAAGCAUGAUUGGAGUCAGAAUUAGAAGAAAUCCCAGAGACUGGAGACCAGCAGUGCUGUGUGUGGGUGAGACCCUGUUGAAGAUCCCUUG
rnacentral:lncRNA from 10 species